UUUUGAAAGUAUUCACCAGUUUUUGUUCCUUGACUGAGUGAGUAGUAACAUGAGACAAUUGUUUUUCCAGUUAUUUAAUAGCAAGUAAUUUGUAGUUAUUCAUUCGAAGACAUCAACACUAUCUGGAUUAGCUACUCUUCUUUUGACACAAUUAUUUUAUAAUUUCAGGUCAUACUGUCUGAUAUUGGAUAAUUUAGCGGGUGAAAGA
rnacentral:lncRNA from 1 species